AACCGUUUUUAGCUUCGAUCGUCAGGAAAUAAACUGAGUUAUCUACUUCGCCCCGGUAGCCGAGUUGGUAGCGUGCUUGGAUUACCAAUGUAGGGGUCGUGGGUUCGAUUCGCACCAGAAGCCUUGUUCUGUCGCUACUGUGGUAUCACAAUGGACUUAAAAUUGUCUAACAUGGAAGUAGAUUUCCCAAUUUAAAGGGGUAAUCACUACCUUCAAUUUGGAAUAUCACACAUACCCCAGAACUGUUUUUUGUUGAACAAAUCUUCCAGAGCAAGGAUUAAUGGCGAAUUGCAAGAUGUAUGUCCCGAUUGUAAUCAAGGACCACACGAUACACGCACCCCAUCUUUGCAGCAGAGUUCCUGGAUCUUGACACUCAACAGAAUCAAGCAAACGAAAGAACUGUUUUUCGUUGAACAAUCCUUCCAGAUUUCUAUUUUGGAACUAGAGGGCAGGACACAAAAUUCAGCGUGGAAGCCAUACAUGAACAUCGUUUAAAAAAUGGCGCAUACAAAAUUAAAGGGGGGAUCAAAACCUUAAACAUGGCGUACCACGCAGAACAAUCCUUCAAGAUUCCUAUUUCAAAACUGGUGGCAGGGCACUACAUUCAGUCUGGAAGCCAUAAAUGGACUUCGUUCAAAAAAAUGCGAACACCAAAAUAAAGAGGAGAUCAGUACUUUUAAUAUGUUAUACCACACAUAUCCCAGAACUGUUGCUCGUAGAACAAU